rnacentral:rRNA from 1 species
AACGAACGCUGGCGGCGUGGAUUAGGCAUGCAAGUCGAACGAGAAUCUGAGAGUUCAAGUUUUCGGACAAGAACUUUUGGAGGAAAGUGGCGGAAGGGUGAGUACAACAUGGAUAAUCUACCUUCAAGUUGGGUAUAGCUUCCCGAAAGGGGAGAUAAUCCCGAAUGUGGUGAUCCGGCGCAUGCCGGAGAAUCCAAAGGCGGGGACCGCAAGGCCUGCCGCUUGGAGAUGAGUCCGUGCACUAUCAGCUAGUUGGCGGGGUAACGGCCCACCAAGGCGAUGACGGUUAGCUGGUCUGAGAGGAUGGUCAGCCACACUGGGACUGAGAUACUGCCCAGACUCCUACGGGAGGCUGCAGUCGAGAAUCAUUCGCAAUGGGCGCAAGCCUGACGGUGCGACGUCGCGUGGAGGAUGAAGGUCUUCGGAUUGUAAACUCCUGUCAUGUGGGAGAAAUGGCCCGGGUCUGAACAGGACCUGGGAAUGAUAGUA